rnacentral:misc_RNA from 1 species
GCAAACUUGGUCAUUUAGAGGAAGUAAAAGUCGUAACAAGGUUUCCGUAGGUGAACCUGCGGAAGGAUCAUUACCGAAUCGUCGACAGCAGUUGUUGCUGGUCCUUGUAAGGGGACAUGUGCACGCUCUGUUUACAUAUCCACUCACACCUGUGCACUCGUUGUAGUCCUAUGGUCUGGGAGACCCCGUCUUCCUUCUGUAGGCCUGCUCUUUUACACACACGCUGUAACAAAGUCUCAUGGAAUGCGGUUCUGCGUUUAACGCGAUAUACAGUACAACUUUCAGCAACGGAUCUCUUGGCUCUCGCAUCGAUGAAGAACGCAGC